AAAAAGUUUUAUUUUGGCUUAAACAUUAUUUAUUUAUUUUUAUAUUAUAAAAAAAUUUAUUUUUAUAUAGUUUAAAUUUUUAGUUAAUAAUUUUAAAUUAAUUUUUUAAUGGAUAAAUUAGAAAUAUAAAAAAAUUUUAAUUAAAUUUGUGCCAGCAAUUGCGGUUAUACAAAUAAAGUUAAGUAAUGAAUUCUAAAUGUAAUAAAUUAAUGUUUAUUUUAAUUUAAUUUUAAUUUUAUUAAGUGAAAUUUUAAUAUUAAUAAUGUUUAAAUUUUUAUAAUGAUUUUAUGAAAUUUUAUGGAAAGACUAGGAUUAGAUACCCUAUUAUUUUAUUUUGUAAAUUUAAAAUUUAAAAUAUUAAAAGUUUAAGAUCUUAAAAAUUAAAAAAUUUGGCGGUAUUUUAUUCAAUUCAGAGGAAUCUGUAGUAUAAUUGAUAAUCCACGAUUUAUUUUACUUUUAAUAAUGUUUGUAUAUCGUCGUUUUAAAUGAAUAUUUUAUUAGAAUAUUAAUAUUCUAAUAUUUUAUAUAAAAAAUUUAUUUCAGAUCAAGGUGCAGUUUUUAAAAGAAACUAUGGAUUACAGUAUUAAAUUUAAUAUAUGGAUAGAAAAUUUAAAUAAAUUUUUUGAAAGAGGAUUUGGUUGUAAGAUUAAAAAAUUUAUAAUCUGAUAAUUUGCUCUAAAAUGUGCACAUAUUGCCCGUCAUUUUCAUUUAAAUUGGAACAAGUCGUAACAUAGUAGAUGUACUGGAAAGUGUAUCUAGUUAGAU
rnacentral:ncRNA from 1 species